UACCACAUCCAAGGAAGGCAGCAGGCGCGCAAAUUACCCACUCCCGGCACGGGGAGGUAGUGACGAAAAAUAACGAUACGGGACUCAUCCGAGGCCCCGUAAUCGGAAUGAGUACACUCUAAACCCUUUAACGAGGAUCAAUUGGAGGGCAAGUCUGGUGCCAGCAGCCGCGGUAAUUCCAGCUCCAAUAGCGUAUAUUAAAGUUGUUGCGGUUAAAAAGCUCGUAGUCGAAUCUGUGUCCCGCGCCGCCGGUUCAUCGCUCGCGGUGUUUAACUGGCGUAUCGCGGGACGUCCUGCCGGUGGACUAUGCCCCGAAAGGGGCGGUCCAACUUGAAAUCCCACCGCGGUGCUCUUCAUUGAGUGUCGAGGUGGGCCGGCACGUUUACUUUGAACAAAUUAGAGUGCUUAAAGCAGGCUAAAACUUCGCCUGAAUACUGUGUGCAUGGAAUAAUGGAAUAGGACCUCGGUUCUAUUUUGUUGGUUUUCGGAACCCCGAGGUAAUGAUUAAUAGAAACGGAUGGGGGCAUUCGUAUUGCGACGUUAGAGGUGAAAUUCUUGGAUCGUCGCAAGACGGACAGAAGCGAAAGCAUUUGCCAAAAACGCUUUCAUUGAUCAAGAACGAAAGUUAGAGGUUCGAAGGCGAUCAGAUACCGCCCUAGUUCUAACCAUAAACGAUGCCAGCUAGCGAUCCGCCGACGUUCCUCCGAUGACUCGGCGGGCAGCUUCCGGGAAACCAAAGCUUUUGGGUUCCGGGGGAAGUAUGGUUGCAAAGCUGAAACUUAAAGGAAUUGACGGAAGGGCACCACCAGGAGUGGAGCCUGCGGCUUAAUUUGACUCAACACGGGAAACCUCACCAGGCCCGGACACCGGAAGGAUUGACAGAUUGAGAGCUCUUUCUUGAUUCGGUGGGUGGUGGUGCAUGGCCGUUCUUAGUUGGUGGAGCGAUUUGUCUGGUUAAUUCCGAUAACGAACGAGACUCUAGCCUGCUAACUAGGCGUACUUUCGACAUCUCAAAGGCCCGCCGGCCCUUCACAUCGUGUUGUGGUCGCGCGUGGUUUUUACUGUCGGCGAACAAUCAAUUCUUCUUAGAGGGACAGGCGGCUUCUAGCCGCACGAGAUUGAGCAAUAACAGGUCUGUGAUGCCCUUAGAUGUUCUGGGCCGCACGCGCGCUACACUGAAGGAAUCAGCGUGUCCUCCCUGGCCGAGAGGCCCGGGUAACCCGCUGAACCUCCUUCGUGCUAGGGAUUGGGGCUUGCAAUUGUUCCCCAUGAACGAGGAAUUCCCAGUAAGCGCGAGUCAUAAGCUCGCGUUGAUUACGUCCCUGCCCUUUGUACACACCGCCCGUCGCUACUACCGAUUGAAUGAUUUAGUGAGGUCUUCGGACCGGUACGCGGUGUCGCUUCGGCGUUACCGAUGUUGCUGGGAAGAUGACCAAA
rnacentral:rRNA from 1 species